GUGCUUGCUUCAGCAGCACAUAAAACUGGAACGGUACAGAGAAGAUUAGCAUGGCCCCUGCACAAGGAUGACACGCAAAUCCGUGAAGUGUUCCAUAUUUAA
rfam:Otolemur garnettii contig079665, whole genome shotgun sequence.